CAGUGCAAUAGUAUUGUCAUGGC
rnacentral:miRNA from 1 species